GUACACGUUUUGAUUCCUGCAGCGUAGACGGUGUUUGAAAGGGCAUUUCAUCUCCUCAACACGAGUAAGUCUUCUCUAAUAAUAAUUUUUGUACACAGAACUCAGGAAGGAUGUCAGAUUUUUACUAAAGGUUGACAUUACUUCAACAACGGUCAUUUCACUUUUUUUGCAGUAGAGAAUAUAUAUAUAUAAAAUAUAUAUAUAUAUUUAUAUGUAUAUAUAUAUUGAAGUGUUUUAUAAUUGAAUUUCAGACAUUUUUUGUCAAAAUAGUUCAUUCAACUCAUAGAGGAUGAACACUUUUAUACAGUAAUCAAAAUGUACAAACACAGGUGUUUUAAUGGACUUAAGUUACCUGGUGUUUUUUUCUUUAAAGCCAGCAUUUGCUUACGUUGGAUUGUGUUUCAGUUACAAUCAUAAAAUGUUGUUGCUCCUGAUAAUUUACACUUUCUUUGUCUUCUAAUCACAGGUGGGAAAACGGUGAGAACCAUUUCCUUUUUAACAUGUAAUAAAUUUGUGGUUAAGAACAUGAAAACAUGUCAACUCAUAAAGCUGUUCCCCUUUUUAUAGAUGGACGAAGAUAAGAAGCCAGAAGAAUGUAUGGGCAAAGGGCCCGACAAUGAGAAUAAGGGGGGAUGUGGAAAAGGAAAAGGAGAUGAACAAGGUGAUGUUGAUAGCUAUGUAUAAAUAAAUGUUAUAAAAAUGCAGAUAUUACAGAAAAAAUGUAUUAAGUUUAUGAUUAUUAAUGACUUUAUUUUAGCAACAACAAAUUAUGACCCAAAUAAUCUAUAUUAUCAUAAAAAAGAGAAAGUUGGUGUUAAAAUGGUAUAGAAAGUCUAUAUACAGAAGAUUUAAAGCCAAAAUAACUGUAAAUGUAAAAUCUCCACAAGAUUUUGCAUGAUAUUGGCUUGCUUAUUUUUUUUAUUAACAUUCAAAUUUUCUAAGCAGCAGUAAAUCAAUAGGACAGUGUGAUUUUGACGGUAUGAUAUCAAUCAGCAGCUUUUCAUUUGCUCUUCUUUCUUUGUGUCGUUCUAUGACAGGUGGCGGACAAGUGAGUCAUUUCAUUGUUCAAGUAAUUUUAUAUUUGUGAUUCAGCUUGAAACACGUCCCCUCAAUAAACUGUUUCCUUUUACAAAAAGGGUCAAGAAAAGGCAAAUAAAGGAAAGGAGUCAGAGGAAGACUCCAACUCUGGAUCUGGAUCUGGAUCUGGAUCUGAAUCAGAUGGGGUAAGAAACUUCUUCAGUUGCCUAAAGACAGCUUCAUACUGUUUCUGUAACUUUACAGUGCUUUAAUGUUGAUUUUUCUAUUUCCUCUUUUAGCAAGGAGGACGCAAAAAGGUAAGAGUUUACAACCUUUUUGAAUUUAGGUGAUAGUUUUUUUUAUAUGUAUAUAAAUGAUUCAAUUUUAAAUGUGACCACUAUUUUACAUGUGUUCGUUUUCCAGAAAGGGAAAGGACACGGGAAAGGACACGGGAAAGGACAUGGGAAAGGACAAAAUAAGGGAAGAGGACCCCCCAUGUGACAGGGGUGAUUGUGGUGGUGGUAACCGUGUCGGUUGUCAUGGUGAUCGCUGAAUUCUGUGUCACUAAAAAUAAAUAACUACUUGAUAAACUAAUACAUAAAGACUGCUUUAUUUUGUUUUUACACAAACAUAACUUCAGUGGCAGACACAUUUAUCUGUGUCAGACAAGCAUUGUUACAUACUGUGUUCAUAACUCCAACAGAUUUAACAAGCCUUGGAAUCCGCUGUAAAGUGUAAAGCUGAAUGAUAAGUUCAAACAUUAUUAUUUUUUUAUCAGUAAACAGAAGCAAAGAGGUAAGAGGAAUAACUUUGUCCUCAUGUAGUGCCAAAGGCAACAAAACCCAAUAGUUCUUGAGAGAAGCUUUAAAUAUGUGGAUGUCUAAACAUGUGAAACCACCACUUAAAAACAAUAUUUCUUUUUUUUGCUUCAAUAUAACUAUUUCAAACUGUACUUUAAAAAAAAGAAAGAUAUUUAAUCCCUGACUCUGAGUCUAAUCCUUAUAUAACUAAAGAAAUUGAAUAAGGACGUUGUGUU